GACGAACGCUGGCGGCGUGCUUAACACAUGCAAGUCGAACGGCAAGGCCCUGCUUUUUUGCGGUGCUCGAGUGGCGAACGGGUGAGUAACACGUGAGUAACCUGCCCUUGACUUUGGUAUAACUUCAGGAAACUGGGGCUAAUACCGUAUAGGAUCUCCUGCUCCAUGGUGGGGGUUGGAAAGUUUCGGCGGUUGGGGAUGGACUCGCGGCUUAUCAGCUUGUUGGUGGGGUAGUGGCUUACCAAGGCUUUGACGGGUAGCCGGCCUGUGAGGGUGACCGGCCACAUUGGGACUGAGAUACGGCCCAGACUCGUACGGGAGGCAGCAGUGGGGAAUAUUGCACAAUGGGCGGAAGCCUGAGGCAGCAACGCCGCGUGCGGGAUGACGGCCUUCGGGUUGUAAACCGCUUUCGCCUGUGACGAAGCGGGAGUGACGGUAAUGGGUAAAGAAGCACCGGCUAACUACGUG
rnacentral:rRNA from 1 species